rnacentral:rRNA from 1 species
UACGAAGGGGGCUAGCGUUGUUCGGAAUUACUGGGCGUAAAGCGCACGCAGGCGGCUCGAUAAAUUAGAAGUGAAAGCCCCGGGCUUAACCUGGGAAUUGCUUUUAAGACUGUCGGGCUAGAAUCCAGAAGAGGGUAGUGGGAUUCCGAGUGUAGAGGUGAAAUUCGUAGAUAUUCGGAAGAACACCAGUGGCGAAGGCGACUACCUGGUCUGGCAUUGACGCUCAUGUGCGAAAGCGUGGGGAGCAAACAGG